GUCGAUUGUCCUGAGUUCCAGAGCCUCAAAGAGCACCCAGCAUAACUGUGGGAGAAUAGUAAGCAUUGGACACAAAAUGUUGAAAACAUUCAAGUACAGAAUAAACUAUUACUACGAAUACGCUCAUAUGACACAAGAACAAUCUCUGAGCUUCUUUGAGGAUGUCCAGAUGACUGCUGACUGCACUAAUUGCAUCAAUCGUGUAUCCAUACAGGUUCUUUCUAUAAAAUAGUGGUCGCUAGUUGUGAGGCGUUAAGCCUUCAUGGAUAUAAACAGACUAUUCCACCUAAGUGAUCUGGCAGAAGCUUAGUUUUCUACCACAACAUCCACGGUCCUCCCUCCCUCCCUUCCUAGCUGGUCAGAAAAGCUACUCAGAAUAAAGACUACAUUUCCCAGCCAUCUUUGCAGCUAGGUUUAUCCACCUGACUAAAUUCCACCGUAACUCCAGGUUGAAGAACUUCUACUUAUAGGCAUCUAUUCAACAAAGACGAAUCCUGGAAUGGGGAUGGAAAUGAUGGCUCAUGUCUUAGCAAACUACCAAACUGAUCCGAGAGGACAGGGAAGUCAGUGUGGGCGGCUCUAAGGAGCCUCCCUCUCUACAGCUGCGGCUCAGAGGAUUACGGCGCUUCAUCCACAAGGCAACAUUGCACAAGUAGCUUUUGAACAAAAGUCAUGGAUACUAUUAAUGAUAUGGUAAUCCUUAAUCGAGCUACCUCCCAGUAGUGAUUAUACUGACAUGGGAAGAAUAUCUAAGUCGUGGAGGCAGCCCACAACAACACUGUGUCAUUGUUCACCCCGGGCUCGACCAGGACUAACUUUUACCAGCAUCUCUAACGUCACCUUUCCCCUGAUGCCUCCCCACAACCCCUGGCCCCAGCUCCCAUUCCCGCCCCAUCAUAGCAAAAAAGUAGCAAAGAAAACCCUGAUCCUAAAUCUUUUUCUGGAUUUUUUUUUGCAAGUUCCCACACACAUUUAGUGUCGUCUCAAAAUUCACGCUGUCAACUGUCUCUAGGAAUCAUUUCCAUCUGAGAACAGACCACACAAAGGUUAGUUCGGUGGGUCUCAGUGAAGAUGUUUUAAUUGUCUGACAAUAGAUCUUCCAUCAUUUGACUUGCAAAUACUGUCCUCUUGCUCUCAGAUAACAUGUUCAGAAUUAGACCAUUUGUCAAUAAAUUUCCCAAAACUCCUUAAUUAUGAUACUGAGAUACAAGUGGUUUGCCAUUUGACAAGACUCAAUUACAAUCCAGCAGGGAAAAUCUUAUGGCUCACUAAACUGUGGGACCCCCCGAAAGGCCAAACUUAAUUUACUCAUAGAUGAGUCCCCUUAACAUAAGGAAAGUGACCUUCAUAAAGACAGAAUAUAUCUAUGAUUUUUAUGUAAUUUAUGUGUGGGAUAAACAUGUUCAAAUGACUUGUAAAUGUACUAAUGAAGCUAAAGAAACUAUACCCUAACUACCACCCUGACCUAAUUAUUCUUUUUCCAUAGCUCAUUAAUAUUUUUAAAUGAUGCCAUUUCUCUGCCAUUCAAAACAAAUCUAAACAAAACCAAUAACUGAUAUAAUUUUAUGGAUACCCUCCCAUAUUCAUGAGACCACAUAGAUGAUCUUUCUAAACCCCAUAAUACGCUGUGCCAACACACAGUGAAAUUGGGAUGUGAAAAAAGUCUGCUUUUUCUAACAAAUAUCUCUGGAGGAGAUCAUUGUUCUAAAUCAGCUUUUCAUUAUUCUUUGCUAAAAAAAAAAAAACUGUUGGAAAAUACACAUAUUUUUAGCAGAACUGCCAUCUUUAACCAAUGUGAGAUGUAUACAUUUUAUCCAAUAUAUGACUAUAAAGAACAAACAAAAAAUUGUCUACAUAUAACAUUAUUAGAGGCCGCAGCCAUAAAUAGGUUCAUAUUGAGCACUAUGAUAAUUUAUAAAAUACUUUAGAGCCACAAAACUAAUGUACUGACUUCUAUGUUAAAAUUAAUAAUUAAUUGAUUUUGUUUGAAGGCUGGAUUUGGGCAAAAUGAUAAGGGCAGAAACUUUCCCUCUUCAUUUUAGAUACACUUUAUUUUUGGAUAUUUAUGAUAACCCAUUAUUGCUUUUCCAACUUAAAAGUAAGAGUAAGUGACAAAAACACAUGAAGUGCCUGAAAUGUCUGAAUAUCUUAUCGUCUCUAAGUGGUUUUGUUUUCUGAAUUUAUUCAUAUGAAAGUGCCACUGUGGCAAUUUCACAGUCCCAGCAAAGUACAGAGUAAAAGUUUUGAGAUUCUGGUUUAUGUAAAAAUUGGCUACACAAAUCAAUACAUCAUGUCAAAUAAAAGCACAGAAGCUUU